AUGCAUCUAUUUGACAGACCUGGAGUAGUUACUGUCUGCUGCUAAGGUUUCCACUACAGAUGCAAGAAAAAAAAUAUUCUCGAGUUUUCUGUCUGUCUAGUUGUGGCUGCUGAGAUUGAAUAGAGGAAUACAGUG
ensembl:snoRNA